rnacentral:lncRNA from 1 species
CGGUUCUGUUGCCUUGAACAGGAUGAUUUAUCUCAAGUCAAUUGUGAUGCAUAUUAUAAAAUUGUACUUUUUGCUUUCCACAAGUAGUAUUUGCUCCGGACAUGCAUAGCAAGAACCAUUGUAAUACUCUGCAUUCUUUUCCAGGUGAAAGCCAUACAAACUUAAUGAUUUUGAAAUUCCAACAAGGGCACCACGGAAGAACUGUGCUAUCAUGCAUAACAUUUGUCUGGUUUAUAUACAGUCUAUAUGUCUCGUAGGCAUGUAGAACGCAGGCUUAAUUACAGAAGCAUUGAAUGGUUUGUAGGUAAAUUACCAUGCAAGGUCUAUAAACACUUCAAACAUAUAUGCAGUCAGUGGGGCCUUUGCAUAAUAGCCCAUAAAGGCCUGUCAAUGCUUGUACUUUUUGCUGCGACUUCCUUCUGAGUAUAUGUAUGUACCCUUGUCAGAGCAUUCACAACUUAUCUACUCGUUCACAUUCAUUGGAAGAAAAAAAUCACAGCAAAAAUUGCAAGUGUAAACAGACCACUACCCAUGAGUCUCAAUUUGUUGGUCAGUGAUCUAAAGUUGGCAUGCCAUUCAUUCAUUGCAUACUAAAACUUGUAAAUAAUAUUUAAUGUAACUAUUUUGCAACAUAAGGGUGCAAUACAACUUAACUCAUUACUACAAUGCACCUACUCCGUCUCUUAGACAUUUUUAACAUCAAGAGGAAAGUAUUGCUGCAUCAGUGGAUAAAGCAGAGUAUCUCCAUAAUCAUAAUUGUGGUUAAAUGUGCCCUACUUUGCCCUUAUCAACAUUUUCAUAAGAGUGCGAACAACACACUGGCAAGGUUGAUGACCAAUUGAAGGUACAAUUUUUGAAUUGAUGUUAGAUCCAAUAUCACCAUUCCUAACUUCUAGAUGAAGGUCCUUCGCUCGAAUUGUCAAACUUCUUUGUACAUUUAUCAGGUAGUUGUACCAUCUGCAAAAGUUUGCAGUGCAAAUAAGCAUCCACAAUAUUUAUUAUUCAAGAUGUGCGUUAUAUUUACAGAUUCACUAGCGACAUCAAAUGACAUCUUAUAUUACAUUGGUGUGAUUUUUAAGACAAAAUAAAUAGUAAUCAUCCUGUAGUCCAAUAAAAUCCCCUUCGGUUGUGCAAAUAAAAUAAUUCAAUAGCUAGUCCAUAACUAUCAAAUAUUAUGGAAGAUUUAAAAUAGUUUGCGUAUAUAUGUCAAACAUCAGUCUUUAUCCU